AGGGAUUCCCCUAGUAGUGGCGAAUGAAGCGGGAAAAGCUCAAGUUUGAAAUCCGUGGCUUGCCUCGGAGUUGUAAGCUGAAGAGGUAUCGACCGACUCGGUCCGGGCCCAAUUUCCUUGGAACAGGAGGUCAUGGAGGGUGAGAACCCCGUCUGUGGCUCGGGUGCCGUAGUCCUUGUGUCGUGUCCUCGAAGAGUCGGGUUGUUUGGGAAUGCAGCUCAAAAUGGGUGGUAAAUGUCAUCUAAGGCUAAAUAUUGGCGAGAGACCGAUAGCAAACAAGUAGAGUGAUCGAAAGAUGAAAAGUGCUUUGAAAAGAGAGUGAAACAGUACGUGAAAUUGUUGAAAGGGAAGCGUUUGGCAUCAG
rnacentral:rRNA from 1 species